AAAUAGUACUUUGUUACUAUAACUUACGGUAGGACUCCAGCAAGAUUUCCAAGAAGCCCAGAAUACAACCCCUUCAAGGCUAUUUGUCCUCCACCACGAGCUACCUGCAGCCGUGUCUUUAUUGUAUCAAUGGGAUAUAAAGCUGUUUCAACAACAACACCGGCGGUCCCUCCUGCUAUCACACCCUCAAAUAGUAUCCGUAGAAAAUCAAAUGGUUUCUCUUCUCCGUUGUUGAUUGAUGCAAAGAACUUUUUUGGUACCAUCUGAAGGUUAUCCAUUUUUCUGCCAGAUGCAUCUGUAGCAGAAGAGGAGGUUGCAAAAGAAUUCUUUGUAUCCAAAGCUA
rnacentral:misc_RNA from 1 species